rnacentral:misc_RNA from 1 species
UCCCGGUUGGCCCGGGCAGUCUCGCAUGAAAAAUACAACAUACGAUAAGGGUUGCGCUCGUUGCGGGACUUAACCCAACAUCUCACGACACGAGCUGACGACGGCCAUGCAGCACCUGUCACUAGGCUCCCGAAGGCACCCCCCGAUUUCUCAGGGGUUCCUAGGAUGUCAAGCCUUGGUAAGGUUCUUCGCGUAGCUUCGAAUUAAACCACAUCAUCCACCGCUUGUGCGGGUCCCCGUCAAUUCCUUUGAGUUUUAAGCUUGCGCUCGUACUCCCCAGGCGGCACACUUAUCGCGUUAGCUUCGCAGCGCAGGGGGUCGAUACCCCACACUACUAGUGUGCAUCGUUUACGGCGUGGACUAC